UUGGAGGGCAAGUCUGGUGCCAGCAGCCGCGGUGAUUCCAGCUCCAAUAGCGUAUAUUAAAGUUGUUGCAGUUAAAAAGCUCGUAGUUGAAUUUCGGGAUCAGUAUGUUGGUCGUGCUUCGGUACGUACUGUCAUUACUGGUUUCUACCUUCUGAAGAACCUUGAUGUCAUUAAUUUGGUGUCUUGGGGAAUCAGGACUGUUACUUUGAAAAAAUUAGAGUGUUUAAAGCAAGCAUACGCUUGAAUACAUUAGCAUGGAAUAAUGAAAUAGGACGUUUGAUUCUAUUUUGUUGGUUUCUAGGAUCGACGUAAUGAUUAAUAGGGAUAGUUGGGGGCAUUAGUAUUCAAUUGUCAGAGGUGAAAUUCUUGGAUUUAUUGAAGACUAACUACUGCGAAAGCAUUUGCCAAGGAUGUUUUCAUUAAUCAAGAACGAAAGUUAGGGGAUCGAAGACGAUCAGAUACCGUCGUAGUCUUAACCAUAAACUAUGCCGACUAGGGAUCGGAUGAUGUUAUUUUUAAUGACUCAUUCGGCGCCUUACGGGAAAC
rnacentral:rRNA from 1 species